rnacentral:lncRNA from 1 species
CAAAUGGUGUUUGAUGUUAUUGCAUGGUGGACAAUAUGGUAUCAAAAUAGGCUCAGCUCGUUAUUUCAAUCAAGAUUAGAUUAAAUCAUGAUUGACACAGGCCAUAAAGGAUGCAACAUAUCUUCUUAAGGGAAGUAUCAAAGGUGGUGAAUAUAUAUGGUGAUAGCCUGCAAGGCAAAAAACCUGUAAAAGACAAUCUACGCAAAAGUAAUAAAGC